CUCAGCACGGGUGAUGGCGUACCACCCGAUCCAACCGCCGCUGUUUUCAGACGGCUGAUGACGCCUGACUAUAC
rnacentral:ncRNA from 2 species